rnacentral:rRNA from 1 species
AUUGAACGCUGGCGGCAUGCCUUACGCAUGCAAGUCGAACGGUAACGGGCCUUCGGGUGCCGACGAGUGGCGAACGGGUGAGUAAUGUAUCGGAACGUACCUUUCAGUGGGGGAUAACGUAGCGAAAGUUACGCUAAUACCGCAUAUUCUGUGAGCAGGAAAGCAGGGGAUCGCAAGACCUUGCGCUGAUUGAGCGGCCGAUAUCAGAUUAGCUAGUUGGUGAGGUAAAAGCUCACCAAGGCGACGAUCUGUAGCGGGUCUGAGAGGAUGAUCCGCCGCACUGGAACUGAGACGCGGUCCAGACUCCUACGGGAGGCAGCAGUGGGGAAUUUUGGACAAUGGGGGCAACCCUGAUCCAGCCAUGCCGCGUGAGUGAAGAAGGCCUUCGGGUUGUAAAGCUCUUUCGGCCGGGAAGAAAUCGUAUCAGCUAAUACCUGGUGCGGAUGACGGUACCGGCAUAAGAAGCACCGGCUAACUACGUGCCAGCCGCCGCCGUAACAC